ensembl:lncRNA
CUGUUCUCAGGAGUUUCUUGGACUUGGCCACAUGGGUUCCAGAAUUCAUUAUAAAACCGCCAGCGUUUAUUAAAACUGCACAGUAGAUCCCCAUGUCUACAACCUUGGUUGUGCAGGGCUUUGAGCAGCCACCUUCAUCUGAUCAGCUGUGUCUACUUGUGAUCGUCCCAGCUGGGGCUUGUUGAAGGCCGCCUCCCUCACAGAAAGAGGGGAGGGUCGGGACCCCUACCCAAGCAUCCAGUAACUUCUUCUUGCCAGCUAUCUGCAAUUCUGCCCUAAUGCCCCCGGGACCUGGGGGAAGGGGCCUGAGGAUAUAGGCGUGGAAGAACUAGAGAGCCGACCAGAUCCACUCAGGCUUCGGGGGUGUCAUCCACGCUGGGCACAGACCUUCCACGGUGGCUGCUUCAAGGUCACCCACGCUCCUGCCCUUCAGCCAUGCUCCUGUCAUGUGCAUAUGGUGCCCAUGAAGGUAGAAGGUGUAAUGGAUCCUGAGACUGGAAUGAUCCCCCGAGACUGGAACGAUCCCCUGAGACUGGAACGAUCCCGAGACUGGAACAAUCCCUCGAGACUGGAACGAUCCCCUGAGACUGGAACGAUCCCAAGACUGGAUCCCGAGACUGGAACGGUACCCCGAGACUGGAACGAUCCAUCGAGACUGGAACGAUCCCCCGAGACUGGAACGAUCUAUUGAGACUGGAACGAUCCAUCGAGACUGGAACGAUCCCGGGAUGGUUGUGGGUGCUGGAAACCCUGAGACUGGAACGAUCCCCCGAGACUGGAAUGAACCCCGGAUGGUUGUGGGUGCUGGAAACCAAACCUGAGCAACAAGUGCUCUCGGCAACGGAACCAUCUCUCCAGCUUCCCUAAUAAUACUUUUAAAAUGUAGUUCUGUCACCAUGAGAUUUGAAGUCACAAACAGUUUCUAAGCUCUGUAGAAUCCCUUAUCCGAGUAGUAAUCAGGUCAGAGCCUGCUGUGUUUCUGAGGUCAGAGGUCAGACUCACUGAGCACAGUAUGGCUAUCCCCCAAUAUAU